GACGAAGGGGGCUAGCGUUGUUCGGAAUUACUGGGCGUAAAGCGCGUGUAGGCGGUUGCCCAAGUCGGGUGUGAAAGCCUUGAGCUCAACUCAAGAAAUGCACUCGGUACUGGGUGACUAGAGGACCGGAGAGGAUAGUGGAAUUCCUGGUGUAGCGGUGAAAUGCGCAGAUAUCAGGAAGAACACCAAUGGCGAAGGCAGCUCUCUGGGACGGUACUGGACGCUGAGACGCGAAAAGCGUGGGGAGCGAACAGG
rnacentral:rRNA from 1 species